rnacentral:rRNA from 1 species
UACAGAGGGGGCAAGCGUUAUUCGGAAUUAUUGGGCGUAAAGGGCGCGUAGGCGGCUUGGCAAGUGGAAGGUGAAAUCCCUCGGCUUAACCGAGGAACUGCCCUCCAAACUGCUUUGCUUGAGGCCGGGAGAGGUGAGUGGAAUUCCCAGUGUAGCGGUGAAAUGCGUAGAUAUUGGGAGGAACACCAAUAGCGAAGGCAGCUCGCUGGGACGUUACUGACACUGAGGCGCGAAAGCGUGGGGAGCGAACAGG